rnacentral:rRNA from 1 species
GGGGGAGGAAUUGGCGGGGGAGCACCGCAACGGGAGGAGCGUGCGGUUUAAUUGGAUUCAACACCGGAAAACUCACCAAGGGCGACUGUUACAUGAAGGCCAGGCCGACGACCUUGCCGGAUUUUCAGAGAGGUGGUGCAUGGCCGUCGUCAGUUCGUACCGUAAGGCGUUCUCUUAAGUGAGAUAACGAACGAGACCCUCACCGAUAAUUGCUACUUCUUCCUCCGGGGAGGAGGCACAUUAUCGGGACCGCUGGCGCUAAGCCAGAGGAAGGAGAGGUCAACGGUAGGUCAGUAUGCCCCGAAUCUCUUGGGCUACACGCGCGCUACAAAGGGCGGGACAAUGGGCUCCGACGCCGAGAGGCGGAGGCAAUCCCGAAACCCGUCCGUAGUUCGGAUUGAGGGCUGUAACCCGCCCUCAUGAAGCUGGAUUCCGUAGUAAUCGCGAAUCAACAACUCGCGGUGAAUAUGCCCCUGCUCCUUGCACACACCGC